GAUGAACGCUGGCGGCGUGCCUAAUACAUGCAAGUCGAGCGAACAGAUGAGGAGCUUGCUCCUCUUACGUUAGCGUCGGACGGGUGAGUAACACGUGGAUAACCUACCUAUAAGACUGGGAUAACUUCGGGAAACCGGAGCUCAUACCGGAUAAUAUAUUUAACCUCAUGGUUCAAUAGUGAAAGACGGUUUUGCUGUCACUUAUACAUGGAUCCGCGCCGCAUUAGCUAGUUGGUAAGGUAACGGCUGACCAAGGCGACGACGCGUAGCCGACCUGAGAGGGUGACCGGCAACACUGGAACUGGGAAAGGGUCCAGAUCCCACCGGGAGGAAGAAGUAGGGAAUCUUCGGAAAUGGGCGAAGGCUGGACGGAGAACCGCCGGGUGAGUGAUGAAGGUCUUCGGAUCGUAAAACUCUGUUAUUAGGGAAGAACAAAUGUGUAAGUAACUAUGCACGUAUUGACGGUACCUAAUCAGAAAGCCACGGCUAACUACGUG
rnacentral:rRNA from 1 species